CACGUAGGGUGCGAGCGUUGUCCGGAAUUAUUGGGCGUAAAGAGCUCGUAGGCGGUGUGUCGCGUCGGCCGUGAAAACCUGCAGCUUAACUGUGGGCUUGCGGUCGAUACGGGCAUCACUGGAGUUCGGCAGGGGAGACUGGAAUUCCUGGUGUAGCGGUGAAAUGCGUAGAUAUCAGGAGGAAUACCGAUGGCGAAGGCAGGUCUCUGGGCUGACACUGACGCUCAUGCACGAAAGCGUGGGGAGCAAACAGG
rnacentral:rRNA from 1 species